GCCUGAUAUUUCUGUAAGCCAUGAUGUGAUUAAGUGAUUCACUUUGAGUUUUGAAUGUCACCAUGUAUUAUUGGGCCUUGGAGCCUAAUGAUUAGUGUACAUGAUAAGAUGAGAUAAGAUAAUAGUGUAGGAUUCUUUUGAUCUAAGCCUUUGAUAGUUAAGACUUGAUCACUAUAAAUAUAUGUUAUAAGGAAAGGAUCCACACUUCUAUCUAAUUCUCUUGAUGGCUAACGAAUCCAUCACGUGCCACCUCUGAAGAAUUAGACAGGAUGCGUGUUCUCGGGUAUCAAACCUCACAUAAAUAAUAUCCUCCAACUUCUUAGCUCAGAUGCCAAUCAUGAAUCCCAAGAGGUACAACAAAUUUUGGUACCAAUCAAAAAGAGAGAACUGAUGGUUAUAGAUGAUUGGGCCGAUGAUGAUUGGAGAAAAUCAAUUGCUUCAUAUUUAAGGAAUCCUAAUACAUAAGUUGACCAAAUUUUGAAGUUACGGUCGAAGAAUUUUGUACUAAUGGGAGAUGACUUAUAUAAGUAUUGAGGGAAAUUUUAUGAGAUGUCUAAGUGAAUCUGAAUCUAUUAUUGCUUUUAGUGAAAUCCAUAAAGGGAUUUGCAGUGCUCAUCAAGCUGGAGAGAGAAUAAAAUGGUCCUUUCGAUGUGAUCAAGUAUUUUGGCUAACCAUGGUAAAAGAUUGCAUUGAAUAUGUCAAAACUUAUUUGGAAUGUAAAAAACAUGGGGUAAUACAACAGGUGCCCGUAUCAGAUUUGCAUUCGAUUGUUAA